rnacentral:tRNA from 1 species
AAAAAUAGGAAUUUAGGUUACACUAGACCAAGGGCCUUCAAAGCCCUAAGCAAGUAUAAUUUACUUAAUUCCUG